AGAGAGAUGAGAGAGAUUCCUUUCACACGGACACAAAAGAGAGGAUUCUUUUCUGGGAGGGCAUCGAAGAAAUGGCAGCAAUUA